UUUGGAGCUCCAGUUAGUGGAAAUAGGAGUACAGCUUUGUGUAUGCAUUUUGGAGCCAGAGCUAUUGACUUCCUGCCCUGAUAAGUUUCUGCGAAGGGAGUGUUCUUAAUUACAGGAUUACAUGAUUACAACUGCUAACUUCCAAAUGGCUUUUCAACAUCCAACUUUCAGACUACAAAACUCAGAAGAUUCAGAAGAUAAGUCUUCAGUUUCAAGUUUUAAGCAUCACAAGUUUCCAUGUAUUUCAUAGUUUAGUCUUUGACAAGCUACAAUAAAUGUUUUCUGUUUACCUGA